rnacentral:rRNA from 1 species
GACGAACGCUGGCGGCGUGCUUAACACAUGCAAGUCGAGCGGUAAGGCCCUUUCGGGGGUACGACGAGCGGCGAACGGGUGAGUAACACGUGGGUGACCUGCCCUCAGCUCUGGGAUAAGCCUGGGAAACUGGGUCUAAUACCGGAUAUGACUCCAUGACGCAUGUCGUGGGGUGGAAAGCCUUGUGCGGCUGGGGAUGGGCCCGCGGCCUAUCAGCUUGUUGGUGGGGUGAUGGCCUACCAAGGCGACGACGGGUAGCCGGCCUGAGAGGGCGACCGGCCACACUGGGACUGAGACACGGCCCAGACUCCUACGGGAGGCAGCAGUGGGGAAUCUUGCGCAAUGGGCGAAAGCCUGACGCAGCGACGCCGCG